rnacentral:rRNA from 1 species
UUAAUUGAAGAGUUUGAUCAUGGCUCAGAUUGAACGCUGGCGGCAGGCCUAACACAUGCAAGUCGAGCGGCAGCACAGAGGAACUUGUUCCUUGGGUGGCGAGCGGCGGACGGGUGAGUAAUGCCUGGGAAAUUGCCCGGUAGAGGGGGGAUAACCAUUGGAAACGAUGGCUAAUACCGCAUAACCUCGCAAGAGCAAAGCAGGGGACCUUCGGGCCUUGCGCUACCGGA